UACGUAGGGUGCAAGCGUUGUCCGGAAUUAUUGGGCGUAAAGAGCUUGUAGGCGGUUUGUCGCGUCUGCUGUGAAAUUUCGGGGCUCAACCCCGAACUGCAGUGGGUACGGGCAGACUAGAGUGUGGUAGGGGAGACUGGAAUUCCUGGUGUAGCGGUGAAAUGCGCAGAUAUCGAGAGGAACACCAGUGGCGAAGGCGAGUCCCUGGACAACUCCUGACACUGAGGCACGAAAAGCUAGGGGGAGCAAACAGG
rnacentral:rRNA from 1 species